AGUGAACGCUGGCGGUAGGCCUAACACAUGCCAGUCGAACGGCAGCACAGUAAGAGCUUGCUCUUACGGGUGGCGAGUGGCGGACGGGUGAGGAAUACAUCGGAAUCUACUUUUUCGUGGGGGAUAACGUAGGGAAACUUACGCUAAUACCGCAUACGACCUACGGGUGAAAGCAGGGGAUCUUCGGACCUUGCGCGAUUGAAUGAGCCGAUGUCGGAUUAGCUAGUUGGCGGGGUAAAGGCCCACCAAGGCGACGAUCCGUAGCUGGUCUGAGAGGAUGAUCAGCCACACUGGAACUGAGACACGGUCCAGACUCCUACGGGAGGCAGCAGUGGGGAAUAUUGGACAAUGGGCGCAAGCCUGAUCCAGCCAUACCGCGUGGGUGAAGAAGGCCUUCGGGUUGUAAAGCCCUUUUGCUGGGAAAGAAAAGCAGCAGGUUAAUACCCCGCUGUUCUGACGGUACCCAAAGAAUAAGCACCGGCUAACUUCGUG
rnacentral:rRNA from 1 species